rnacentral:lncRNA from 1 species
AUGCCGUGUCUGUUUUGCUUAUAUAUAGUUUUGUGUUAAUGCAGAAUUUCAAUAUAUUUGCUUCCUGAAGAGAACACAGUCUUGUUUUAUUCCACAGUAUCUGAUGGUUUUAAGCCACAACAUACCAAAGUUCAAGCAGCCGAAUUUGGACAGUUGGAUGGUCCAUGCGACGGCUGCAGAGAAAAGGUUCAGACUCAGGCGUGCUCCCUUUGGAAAAGGACCCGGACUCUCCAUCCACAGUUACUGUUUCCAGCUCACUGGUAAGAUGCAUGGUAAGAUGUAUGGGACUUUCCUUUGUCAUUUGUAAAUAGCUCUUUUUAGAUAUCAUAUUGUAACCAUCAAACUCAAUGGAGACCCUUAUUUUAUAAUGCGUGAUAAUGAAGAAAGCUUAAGGAUGUAGCAAACUUAAGGGAUUAAUAGCCCUGUUGGUACCCCAAAGCCUGGUGUAAAUCUUCCUAUAAUAAUUCAGUUGCCAUAAUAGGCAGACUGAUGCGACUAACUCUAUUCUUCUUGGCAGGAGACUGCAUCGUGUCAUGUGGGAAGUUUCAUUGUUGUAGGGGUGUUUCCUUGCACGUCUUCUGCCUCUCCUUUUCCCGAAGUCUCU